rnacentral:lncRNA from 1 species
CUAGAGGGAGCCCUUGUCUCAGUCUUAUCACCUGAUACUGUAGGGCAGAAUAUUAAUCGAUAUGCUUUUGAUUUAUAUCUCUUAGUCUAUCAUAGUCACACCUCAACUACUAUAGUUUUGCUCUUACAACAUUAUAUUAAGAUUUUAUCCUUUGAAAAGAAUAUUUAUAAUACAUUCUAUCAAAAAAAUUAACAUCUCACACUUUGAAGUAGAACCAGUGCUACAGGGUAUGAAAAGCAUAGGUUGCCACCCGCUCUUCCGACCUCAGUUGGGGUUGACCUUCUCUACUAACAAUAAUUUCAACAAAGAAUUUAACAAAUUGUCCUUCAUUUAUCUCUACCCUAGAUAUCAGAUCUCACAAUCCCAACUUUUUUGUUACCUCAGCUAAUAUUAUUUUUGGGGAUAUAUCAAUUAUUUUCAUGAUUUGUAAUCAACAUCACAAAAUUAAUCACUUAUAUGAAAUAAUUCUUAUCAAAAAUAAAAUUCAUUAAAUGAUAAUCAUACAAUUGAUUAUUUCUUUCUAAGAUUGUUCCUCGUAUAAUCAUAUACCAAAAAUCUUCACCUAACCUAUGAGUUACCACCCACCACUUACUAAAUUAUUCUAAUCCAUUCCAAUUUCUGAAUACUCUAGUUGCACCUAUUCAGAUUACUAUCACUAUAAGAAAUUAAGGUAUUAGCGAUCAUAUUUUUACCAUCGCUAAUAUGUCUAUUAACGAUGGCAUUACAGACGGCAACGAUUACGUUGAUAAUAAUUCUUUUACCGAUGGCUAUUAGAGAUGAAUUUUUACCAUUGCUAAUAUUAGUUUUACUGAAGGUAUAAACGGUAUUAGCGAUAGCAUCGCUGUCAGUAAUAAUCAUUAAUGAUGGUACUAUUAGAGACAGCAAUCACCAUUGCAAAAAAAAUAUUUAAUAAAAUUAUUAGGGAUAGUGAAAAGAAUAUUAGUGACGAUAAUUAUCAUCUCUAACAAUCAUUAGCGAUAGCACUAUUAGUGACUACAUUCACCGACACAAAAAAUAAAAAAAAUUAUUUAUUAAAAUUAUUAGUAAUAGCAAAAAGAAUAUUAGUGACGGUAACUGCCAUCUCUAAUAAUCAUUAGCUACGACACUUUUAGUGACGAUAUUGCCAUCGUAACAAAUAAAAAAAAAUAUUAAAAUUAUUAGCGAGGACAGGAAGA